AUAUACUGGAAGGUCCUUUUUCUUAAACGUAAGGUCUAAGGAUGAGCCGGCGGCUGAUUAGGUAGUUGGUAGGGUAAUGGCCUACCAAGCCGAAGAUCAGUAGGGGCCUUGAGAGAGGUAGCCUCGAGAAGGGUACUGAGACACUGACCCUAGCCCUACGGGGUGCAGCAGGCGCGAAACCUUUACAAUGCACGAAAGUGUGAUAAGGGGAUUCCAAGUGCUCAUGUUUUACAUGGGCUUUUGUUCAGGGUAAAGACCUGGACGAAUAAGUGGUGGGAAAGACUGGUGCCAGCCGCCGCGGUAAUACCAGCGCCACAAGUGGGGAUCGUAUUUAUUUGGCCUAAAGCGUUCGUAGCCGAUUUGGUAAAUCUUUUGUGAAAUUGUUUUUUCUAAACUAACAGCUUGCAGGAGAGACUGCCAGGAUUGGGACCGGGAGGGGUUAGGAGUAUUCAUGGGGGAGCGGUAAAAUGUUAUAAUCCCAUGAGGACUACCUGUGGCGAAGGCGCCUAACCAGAACGGAUCCGACGGUGAGGAACGAAAGCUAGGGGAGCAAUCCGGAUUAGAUACCCGAGUAGUCCUGGCUGUAAACGCUGCGAGCUAGGUGUUGCAUAUUCUUCGAGAAUAUGCAGUGUCGAAGCGAAGGUGUUAAGCUCGCCGCCUGGGAAGUAUGGUCGCAAGACUGAAACUUAAAGGAAUUGGCGGGGGAGCACCACAAGGGGUGCGGCGUGCGGUUUAAUCUAACUCAACGCAGAAAAUCUCACCAGAGGCGACGGCAGGAUGAUGGUCAGCUUUAAGAGCUUGCUAGACGAGCCGAGAGGUAGUGCAUGGCCGCCGUCAGCUCGUGCCGUAAGGUGUCCUGUUAAGUCAGGCAACGAGCGAGACCUGCGCCUAUAAUUGCCAGCAGCUAACUUGUUAGGACUGGGCACAUUAUGGGGACUGCCUGUGAAAACAGGAGGAAGGUGCAGGCAACGGUAGGUCUGUAUGCUCCGAAUCCUUUGGGCUACACGCGCGCAACAAUGGUAUGGACAAUGGGCUACAACUCCGAAAGGAGAAGUCAAUCCUCGAAACCAUAUCUUAGUCCAGAUUGAGGGCUGUAACUCGCCCUCAUGACGAUGGAAUCCCUAGUAAUCGGGUUUCACUAUGGCCCGGUGAAUAUGUCCCUGCUCCUUGCACACACCGCCCGUCAAACCAACCGAGCAGGGUUUAGGUGAGGCCUAGUCGUUAUGAUUAGUUCGAAUCUAAGCUCAGUGAGGUGGGUUAAGUCGUCACAAGGUA
rnacentral:rRNA from 1 species